ensembl:lncRNA
CUCUGAUUUAUCUCAGCAGCAGAUGCAGGCCCACACACAGGUCUGAGUGCUGCCAGUAACACGGAAAGCCCUUACUCACCCAGGAAAAUACAAAUUCAAGUGUGUGGGCUUCUUUGGAAGGGGAAGACGGAACAGCACAGUCUGUGGCCUGGUGGAAGGGCACUGUACCGCUGCCGAGCUUGUGCUGAACUGCCAAGCCUGGCGCUGAAGGGGCAAGCCCAAAGACUGCAGGACAGGACCUCACAUAGCUCUGGUCUGUUAUCUACCCCAGCUCAUUGGACAUCACGUGGAGAGACGUCUGUUCCUCUGAACCCUCUGCUUCCUCUGCUGCCCACUGAGGGACUGCCCACAGGAUCCAUCCUCACAGUGCCAGCUGAGCGGAUUGAUGGAGGUCCAUGUCCUCCUUGGUUCUGGAAACGGGAGCUAACUUGAGCCUUUUAAAGGAGCUUCAACCCUAUCUUGUUUCUGGGGAUGCUACAAGAUGGUAUUAUAUUAUCAAAGCUGCUCAAUUCACUCUGUUUUUGCUUCUGUCUCCCUUUUUUUUCCUCCCUAUUCUCCAUUCUUCCUUCUCCUACUUUCCAUGUUGCAGAAACCCAUGAGGAAGCAGACUUACACAGUGUGAGAUGUUAAGAGGAACCUUAUGCCAUGCUGCUGUGGAUAACGUGUCAGAGAGAAAUGAGUAUGUCUGCAUGUUUGAGACCACUUGCACAGGAUGGGAAAUGCAGGAUCCUGGGGAUAGGAAAGCCUGAUGUCUCUCAGUCUCCAGGAGAAACAGCCAGCCUUGAUCCUCAUUCUGGGAAACAGCUGCUGCCAGGAUAAUUUUAUCCUCUUGCUUACACAAGAGAGAAGAUCUAUUUUACAAACAUCCCGUGAUCUCCUGGACCCAUAUAUGCGGUCAUUCCAGGUCGGAGUUGCAUCACCCGAGAGGCAGGUCCAUAUUCUGACCUGCUUUUAGCUGUCUCCCAGCGGUCUCUUCCUCCUUUCAGUGCUCUCAGACUGGGGACCAUAUCCUUUUGUCUCCUAAUUAAGCUGGUUAUCACCCUAUGCUCUUCUCCAUGACUUGCAUGACGUUACAGAAGUUUUGCUCAAUCACACUCAGUGCAAUGACUUACUCAUGCUCAACAACGGACAGCUAUGGAAAGAAAGUACUUGUUUCCCUCCCUGUAGGAUGUAAGGCACUAUAGAUAAGGAAUUCAUGCCCUUAUCAGUUCUUACCCUGAAAUAUUUGUCUUUUCCUAGUGCUAAACUUACUGUCUGCCUGAAUGCAAAUGAAAAGACACUAAUUAAUUAAGAGAUUUCCCAUCUCACUGUCUUCCUACAGACAGUGGCUGUCAGUAGACCACAUGGCACCUUUGGUUGGCUCCCAGCAACACUUCUCAAAUGAAAGUUUCUUAAACAAGAAAAUAUGGAGAAAGAAAAAAAAUGCUCAAAAUUCAUGUUUUAAAGAAUGGCAACAGGGGAAAACCUAAAAUGCUUCAUUUUGUAAUCAGGCAUUUUGCUAUUUUCUCGCUUGUUUGUUUGUAAUGACUUUCUGGCUCUGCAUUUUCUUCUGAAAACAUUCAAAAGAUUAAAAAUAAAAAUAAAAAUCCCCAGGCCUUUCAGAAGAGCUAAAAAUGAAAGCUGUUGGCAUUUCUGGAGAAGCAAAUUGACUUCAAAAGGGACAGAAAAUGGCUUAAAGUUGAAUGCAACUUUGUAUUUCAAGAAACGAAAUUCCUCUGAAAAUGCCAUUUCCUUCAGAUUUUUCCAGUGCCAAUUUCUUUUCCACAUUUUUAACUCCUUUUUUCCUCCAUGAGUUUGAUCAGCCCUUCUGCUCUGAGCUGUCACUGCUGCAUUGGACACGCUGUGUAAAGCAGCCAAAGGAAAGAGCUCUCCUGAUCGCUUCAUGAGCCCUCCCCCGACCACUGAGGGUGCCCUGGAGGGUGGCUUUCAAGACACGUUUUUAUUUGGCUAGCAACGGUCACUUGGCAUCAGUGAAAUCAAAGUAUUCCCAUAUUUAACGCCGGGCUACGAGUGCUCACAAUCAGUGGGUUAAUCAUUAUGGAAAUACUGACUGAUCCUUGAGUCAAAUGUCAGGUGGUGCCAAAAAACAGAGCCCCAGGACAAAGGACAGAGAAAAGUCAGCUCCGAGUAAUGCUGCAAAUAAAACGGCUGUUACACAAGACGUGUCUUCCAACGCAGCUCUCGGGUCACAGCAAUAUCUGAGCCACAAAGCCCGCUCCUGUGAAACACAGUGCAUGCCAUCAGCUGGGGUCUGAUUCAUGCCAAAGUCUGGGGGUCUCAAAGCCCCGAGUGGGGAUCAACGUAUGCUCUGCUAACAAGCUAUCCAGGCUGCUGGGGGCUAUUUAUAUAGAGAUUAGGGGAAAAAAAGAGCUUCAGAGUAAGCCGUGAAUAAACUCAGAUACUGGAAAUUAGAAGAGGGUUUCUAAGCAGCAGAGGAGAGGAGGUCUGGAGCAUGCCCAUUGCAGAUACAGCUCCAGUAAAAAACACCACCAGGUUUUAAGAUGAGCUGCAUCUGUCAAUGAAUCGAUGUACGUUUGGCACAAAUGGCUGUGAAGCUACUGCUGUUCCCCAGCUGGAUAGAAGCAGAAUGUUUGCUUUCCGUGCUCUACAAGAAGUGGCUCACCCUUACCUUGUCCAGCAUAAGAUUUUACUGCUCAGAACCCAGAACAAAGUCAAUCCUUCUUCAUGCCCUGAAUUACAUUCAGUGGUUCAGAGAGGAUCACAGCUUAUGGCCUCACAAGGGAUAAUGUCAUCUGGAAGAAAAAUGUGUGCUUCAGCAGCUUGUGCCACUGGCCAGAAGGUGCCUGGGAAACUGGGAAACCGGGAUGUGACCUCAGAAAAGGUCUCUGGGGAGCGUGCAGGGCUCAAGGUUGGCAGGUUCCUGCUGGCUGCAGUGCUCUCAGGGCAGCUGAUCUGUCUUGGCAGAGAGGGAUGCUGUCACCCAGCUUGAAGUCAAGGGUCUGGGUAAGCUGUGGUAAGAAGUACCAAGCCACGAGUAGAUAAGGAAAUUAACUGAUUAGUAGCCUUGAUUGAUUAUCUCAAUCUUUGAGCCACAGUGCAAAGAAGAAGACUGUGAUGACAACAGCUCUCAAUUUUACAGCCAGUUCUGAUAGCAGAAAGUGGUGUUACAUUUGUGUUCUUCUUUCCAUCAAUUCCUAUUUUAUUUGGCAUCCAACUCCAGCUAGGUAACUUUCUCUCAGGCAGAAAACCUUGGUGGAACUAUGGUAUGCUAGAGCAAUGGGAGAUGUGGAGGAGGGACCCUGGGACAUCCUGGAGAAGGACAGCAAUUGGAAGAGUUUGGAUGCUUGAGUUUAGUGAAAUGAAGGCUGAAAAGGGUAAGACCAGGACUGGCUGCCACAGAUACAUCAGGAGCCUAAAUGCUGGGGACAAAGGAGAGCUAUUUAACUGAAGCACAAUGUUGGCACAAGAACAGCUGGGUACAGGCUGCCCAUGAAUACAUCUAGACAAUGUGAAUAGAUGGAAAACAGCGAUACAAAAAUAAAAUAAAAUAAAAAUCAAAACCAGACCAAGUCAUUUUCAGAUUAUAAAGCCAUAGAAAUGGAACUGAGAAAGCCUUCAGAGACCUACUCAUUUUGGGCUUUGUAACCUCGGGUAAUAUGACAACUGCUUCUAAAAGAGAAAAGCCAGAGACCAUUUUGUCAGCGUGGCCGCAAUGCUUUUCAUUCACAGCUUACUAAAAGGAAGAUGAUCUCCUGCAUGUUCCUCUUAUUAUUUCCCCCCUUUGGCUGUAUAUUCGCAUGUGAGAACAUGAAUUAAUAAAAUUAAUAAUUU